rnacentral:rRNA from 1 species
AACAAACGCUGGCGGCGUCGUCUUAAGCAUGCAAGUUGAGCGGCAAGGAGGAGAGAUCCUCCCUAGAGCGGCGGACUGGUGAGUAACGCGUGGGUAAUCUAUCUUAGGCAUGGGGAUAGUCACUAGAAAUAGUGGGUAAUACCGAAUAAGUUCCAUAAGGGGAGGACUUAUGGAAGAAAGGUGCUACGGCACUGGCCUUAGGUGAGCUCGCGUCCCAUUAGCUAGUUGGUGAGGUAAAGGCCCACCAAGGCGAUGAUGGGUAGCCGGCCUGAGAGGGUGUACGGCCACACUGGGACUGAGAUACGGCCCAGACUCCUACGGGAGGCAGCAGCUAAGAAUAUUCCGCAAUGGACGGAAGUCUGACGGAGCGACGCCGCGUGGAUGAAGAAGGCCGAAAGGUUGUAAAGUUCUUUUGCUAGGGGAGAAUAAGUGUGGGAGGGAAUGCCUGCACGAUGACAAGGACUAGCGAAUAAGUCCCGGCCAACUACGUGCCAGCAGCCGCGGUAA